GAUGAACGCUAGCGACAGGCUUAACACAUGCAAGUCGAGGGGCAGCGGGGAUAAUAGCAAUAUUAUCUGCCGGCGACCGGCGCACGGGUGAGUAACGCGUAUGCAACCUACCUAUCAGAGGGGGAUAGCCCAUUGAAAGAUGGAUUAAUACCGCAUAAAACAGGGGUCCCGCAUGGGAAUAUUUGUUAAAGAUUAAUUGCUGAUAGAUGGGCAUGCGUUCCAUUAGUUAGUUGGUAUGGGUAACGGCCUACCAAGACAUCGAUGGAUAGGGGUUCUGAGAGGAAGGUCCCCCACACUGGUACUGAGACACGGACCAGACUCCUACGGGAGGCAGCAGUGAGGAAUAUUGGUCAAUGGGCGAGAGCCUGAACCAGCCAAGUCGCGUGAAGGAUGACUGUCCUAUGGAUUGUAAACUUCUUUUAUGUGGGAAUAAAAAAAGGUAUGUAUACCUUAUUGCAUGUACCACAAUGAAUAAGCAUCGGCUAACUCCGUGCCAGCCGCCGCCGUAAUAC
rnacentral:rRNA from 1 species